GACGAACGCUGGCGGCGUGCUUAACACAUGCAAGUCGAACGGAAAGGCCCUGCUUUCGUGGGGUGCUCGAGUGGCGAACGGGUGAGUAACACGUGAGUAACCUGCCCUUGACUUUGGGAUAACUUCAGGAAACUGGGGCUAAUACCGGAUAGGAGCUCCUGCUGCAUGGUGGGGGUUGGAAAGUUUCGGCGGUUGGGGAUGGACUCGCGGCUUAUCAGCUUGUUGGUGGGGUAGUGGCUUACCAAGGCUUUGACGGGUAGCCGGCCUGAGAGGGUGACCGGCCACAUUGGGACUGAGAGACGGCCCAGACUCCUACGGGAGGCAGCAGUGGGGAAUAUUGCACAAUGGGCGGAAGCCUGAUGCAGCAACGCCGCGUGCGGGAUGACGGCCUUCGGGUUGUAAACCGCUUUCGCCUGUGACGAAGCGUGAGUGACGGUAAUGGGUAAAGAAGCACCGGCUAACUACGUG
rnacentral:rRNA from 1 species